rnacentral:lncRNA from 1 species
CUCACUGCUUUGUGUGACUGGCCUCUAGUCCCUGACUCCAGACACUCAGCCGUUGUCCUCUUAUGGUUGUUUGAAGCUGUCCCCCAAAGUUUCCUACUCAAGGAGAGAAGCGGCUGCGUGAAGACAUAAGCAUCAUGAUUAAAUUUUGGACCGCCAUGUUCUCAGAUAAGAAGUACCUGACCGCCAGCCAGCUUGUUCCCCCAGCUGACAUCGGCGACCUCCUGGAGCAGUUAGUAGAGGAGAACACAGGCUCCUUGUCGGGCCCAGCGAAGGACUUUUACCAGCG